rfam:Oryza nivara chromosome 11, whole genome shotgun sequence.
UUUAAGUACAACUAUAAGUUUCUGCGUCCAACUUUGAUCGUCCGUCUUAUUUAAAAAAAUUUUAUAAUUAGUAUUUUUGUUAUUAUAAGAUGAUAAAAUAUGAAUAGUACUUUACUCAUAACUUAUGUUUUUAACUUUUUUCAAAAAUUUUUUAAAUAAGACGGAAGGUCAAAAUUAGGUACGGAAAACUAUUAUUGCACUUAAA